GUAGGGGGCCAGCGUUGUCCGGAUUCAUUGGGCGUAAGGAGCGUGUAGGCGGUUCAAUAGGUCCGAUGUGAAAACUCGAGGCUCAACCUCGAGAGGUCGUCGGAAACCAUUGAGCUAGAGUCCGGAAGAGGAGAGUGGAAUUCCUGGUGUAGCGGUGAAAUGCGCAGAUAUCAGGAAGAACACCGAUGGCGAAGGCAGCUCUCUGGGACGGUACUGACGCUGAGACGCGAAAGCGUGGGGGGAGCGAACAGGAUUAGAUACCCUGGUAGUCCACGCCGUAAACGAUGGGCACUAGGUGUGGGUGGUGUCGACUCCAUCCGUGCCGCAGCUAACGCAUUAAGUGCCCCCCGCCUGGGAGUACGGCCGCAAGGCUA
rnacentral:rRNA from 1 species